AGAGUUUGAUCCUGGCUCAGGAUGAACGCUAGCGGCAGGCCUAACACAUGCAAGUCGAGGGGUAACAUAGAGUGCUUGCACUCUGAUGACGACCGGCGCACGGGUGCGUAACGCGUAUACAAUCUACCUUUUGCUGAGGGAUAGCCUUUGGAAACGAAGAUUAAUACCUCAUAGUAUGUUUGAAUGGCAUCAUUUAAAUAUUAAAGGUUACGGCAAAAGAUGAGUAUGCGUUCUAUUAGCUAGAUGGUGUGGUAACGGCACACCAUGGCAACGAUAGAUAGGGGCCCUGAGAGGGGGAUCCCCCACACUGGUACUGAGACACGGACCAGACUCCUACGGGAGGCAGCAGUGAGGAAUAUUGGACAAUGGAGGCAACUCUGAUCCAGCCAUGCCGCGUGCAGGAAGACUGCCCUAUGGGUUGUAAACUGCUUUUAUACAGGAAGAAACACUCCCUCGUGAGGGAGCUUGACGGUACUGUAAGAAUAAGGAUCGGCUAACUCCGUGCCAGCAGCCGCGGUAAUACGGAGGAUCCAAGCGUUAUCCGGAAUCAUUGGGUUUAAAGGGUCCGUAGGUGGAUAAUUAAGUCAGAGGUGAAAUCUUGCAGCUCAACUGUAAAAUUGCCUUUGAUACUGGUUAUCUUGAGUUAUUAUGAAGUAGUUAGAAUAUGUAGUGUAGCGGUGAAAUGCAUAGAUAUUACAUAGAAUACCAAUUGCGAAGGCAGAUUACUAAUAAUCAACUGACACUGAUGGACGAAAGCGUGGGUAGCGAACAGGAUUAGAUACCCUGGUAGUCCACGCCGUAAACGAUGGUUACUAGCUGUUUGGACUUCGGUCUGAGUGGCUAAGCGAAAGUGAUAAGUAACCCACCUGGGGAGUACGUUCGCAAGAAUGAAACUCAAAGGAAUUGACGGGGGCCCGCACAAGCGGUGGAGCAUGU
rnacentral:rRNA from 1 species